rnacentral:rRNA from 1 species
UACGUAGGGUGCGAGCGUUAAUCGGAAUUACUGGGCGUAAAGGGUGCGCAGGCGGUUUUGUAAGCCAGAUGUGAAAUCCCCCGGGGCUCAACCUGGGAAUGGCAUUUGGGGACUGCAAGGCUAGAGUGUGGCAGAGGAGACUGGAAUUCCCGGUGUAGCAGUGAAAUGCGUAGAUAUCGGGAGGAAUACCGAUGGCGAAGGCAGGUCUCUGGGCUGACACUGACGCUCAUGCACGAAAGCGUGGGGAGCAAACAGG